AAGUCGUAACAAGGUUUCCGUAGGUGAACCUGCGGAAGGAUCAUUAUCGAGUUUUUGAAGUGGGUCUUAUUUGAGCUGGCUUUUCACGAAGCACUGUGCUCGGGCCCCGCUCCAAUCCACUCAACCCCUGUGCACUUUCGGAGUUGCGUGGCCUUAUUUGUAGGUCCCGUGGCUUCGUCUCUUAUCACAAACCAUAUUGUUUUGUCGAACGUGGAUGCCUGCAAAGGCGGAAACUCAAUACAACUUUCAACAACGGAUCUCUUGGCUCUC
rnacentral:misc_RNA from 1 species